UGUGACCUACGGGAGGCAGCAGUCGGGAAUAUUGCACAAUGGAGGAAACUCUGAUGCAGUGACACCGCGUAUAGGAAGAAGGUUUUCGGAUUGUAAACUAUUUUAGACAGGGAAGAAAAAAGACAGUACCUGUAGAAUAAGCUCCGGCUAACUACGUGCCAGCAGCCGCGGUAAUACGUAGGGAGCAAGCGUUAUCCGGAUUUACUGGGUGUAAAGGGAGCGCAGGCGGCGCGGUAAGUCUGAUGUGAAAGCCCGGGGCUCAACCCCGGGACUGCAUUGGAAACUGUCGUGCUGGAGUGUCGGAG
rnacentral:rRNA from 1 species